UGUGGCACCAGAGGAUAUCGUCUGUCACAUUGCAAAUAUAGUGAUUAGCUCUGUUCCUCUUAAUUAGGCAGUGGCCAUUCGCGAUUUUGUUGGUCCAAAAGGGAUUCAAUGGAAAACAUUUGGGAUGUACCGAGGUUAACCAUGACGUAUUGUGUACCCUUGCGUCCGCGUCAUAAACUAGAUCGGACUACGUUGAUUGCUGUUGAACGCUAAGAAGAAAAAGAACAAGAAACUUCAGAGUCGAGAGUCAGUGUAUGUCUGUUAAAGUUUGUCAAGCGAAGAUACCUAAGAUGCAGUAGUUACUGUGCUGGUUGUCACUGUGAAUGUGUUGCUGUAUAUCUCGAUAUCGCAGCCCUCCUUUGAGAAGGACGACAUGAGAAGCCUUGGCGAACUCUGAACUCGCUCCAUCGCCUUGAAGAAGAUUACUUCGCUACAUGAGCUAUUAUAUUUUUGGCGAAAGACGAAUGUAAGAGACUUAUAUUUAUCCUGGGAGACAGACAAAUCUCCUUUGGUCUCUUUCAAUUUAGAUAGGCACUUCAGACACGGAAAUAAAAGUGAAAUCAGGCGAUUCUCGUGACAAGCCAGUCGGCGAAUGCUCCUCAUUGUGGAUAAGGCAGUGAAUCAAAGUGAUGACAACGGGCUUCCUGUGCUUGCUAUACGCACAUGAAGUACAACGGAAACUUUCCUUGCAAUGAUUUAUUUGGCGGUUAACUUUAUAAUCAAAGCUUAUGUAACUGUGCAUAAUACCGUAUACCGUAUUGUUAAAUAUUGAUUUUGUAAAUACUUGUUGCAAUUAAAUCUCAUUUUGUUAUGACCGAAUAAAAUUACUAUAGUUGGUUAUA